AGAUGGAGAUGUGAGGGUAGACAGGGACGAGCCAGAGCUCGAAAAAGACAAGUCAAUACUUGAGUCAGUAUUUUCUUUUUCAUGCACUGUCUCUUCCCUGGCUAUCCUUUUUCCUCUUUCU
rnacentral:pre_miRNA from 11 species